GACGAACGCUGGCGGCGUGCUUAACACAUGCAAGUCGAACGGUAAGGCCCUUCGGGGUACACGAGUGGCGAACGGGUGAGUAACACGUGGGUGAUCUGCCCUGCACUUCGGGAUAAGCCUGGGAAACUGGGUCUAAUACCGGAUAGGACUCCGGACUGCAUGGUCUGGGGUGGAAAGCUUUUGCGGUGUGGGAUGGGCCCGCGGCCUAUCAGCUUGUUGGUGGGGUGAUGGCCUACCAAGGCGACGACGGGUAGCCGGCCUGAGAGGGUGACCAGCCACACUGGGACUGAGAUACGGCCCAGACUCCUACGGGGGGCAGCAGUGGGGAAUAUUGCACAAUGGGCGCAAGCCUGAUGCAGCGACGCCGCGUGAGGGAUGACGGCCUUCGGGUUGUAAACCUCUUUCAGCAUCGACGAAGCGAAAGUGACGGUAGGUGCAGAAGAAGGACCGGCCAACUACGUGCCAGCAGCCGCUGUAA
rnacentral:rRNA from 1 species